rnacentral:misc_RNA from 1 species
AGGAGCAGCUUGAAAUGAAUUCCAAUGAGUCAAUGUAUGUCAGAACGUAGUACUGUGCGUACGUGAAGACAAGUAAGAAAAGGAGAAUUAAGAAGUUGGGAGGAUGGGAUGACGUUGAUAGCUAUACUAACCUUUUAAAAACCCUUGAGUGAUUCUUUCAUAAAUACAAAUAAUUGAUCUAUUCAUGAUAAUAUGCCAGCAUAGCCCAUAGGGUUACUAUACAAUGGGAUUGAGUGAGAAAGAGACUGGAGAUGAGGAGGACAAUGCUGGAGAGGGUGAGGAGGAUGAAGAAGGCGGAAGAAGAGCCAAUUUGUAUCGCCUUUUUGAUUCAAUUCACUUUGAUCCUUCCAUGGCGAUGACUUAUCUCUUUCAAUGCAAAAAGAUGGAAUUCCUACGAUAUAUAGGAGAUCGUCUUUUUAGUUUUCCAACAUUAGAAGUGGACUCGCAUUUACCUCAACUCUUGCACUUAUCUCUUCAUUUCCCAGAUGUCCAAGCUGCUGUUCUUCCCUAUCUCAUUUCAAGGUCUCAUGAAUCCGUGGACUUUUCCCUUCGACUCAUUUGGCUUCUUGAUUCAUUUAAGGAGAAUCCGAAAACUUCACAAAUCCGUGAAAUAAUAAUUGCAGACGAAACGAAAAGAUUGAAAAGAAAUCGAAUCAAAAGGCCUACUCAUGUCCGUUCACGUUCGGAUGCCACUGGACUUAUUUUGCUAAAUGGGUCCUCUAUGAGUUUAUCCCAUUUUAAACAGAAACCAACACUGGGGAACCUUGCCUCUGGAAAAGCCUUUGAUAAUGGUUGCAUUUGUUUUGAAACACGCCUUGCUACUGUUAAUCAUUUAAAAGGUAGAGGAGAAAUUCCUUGUGCUUGUGGUGCUCCCCGAUUUGCUGCUCAAAUUCAAUUCAUUCAGGCUCUUACCAAUAUUGGUACAUCUCUUGCUUUGAUACCCAUUAAAGAGGAUAGAACUAAAAGAUUGUGGGCAGAUUUGUCCUCUAUAAAUAUGAAUCUUCCAGCCCGGGUUUGGCUUCCUAUAUACAGUUCUGAGCGACCUCACUAUGUUGUACGCAUUCCCGUUCAAAAUGCAACUGUUCUUAAUUCCAAGGAUAAAGCACCUUAUAUAAUCUAUGUUGAAGUUGUCGAAGUUCCGGAUCUCGGCAAUUCACCUACACCCUUAAAAAUAAAAAGUAGUUUGAGGCACGUACGUUCUGAGGAAAGACUUAUGGAAUUGGAACCUCCAUGUGGGGACUCACCAGGUCCAAACUCGUCUUCAUCUUCAAUAUCCAAUAUUACGCCUCCUCAUUUCUCCGUAGAUUCGAUAUCGUUACAUUCCUUUAAAGAUGAUUUUGAAGAUGUUUGGUCUGCCGAUAUUGGAGAAGAGGAACUCCUUAUGGGAUAUCAUUCAGGAUCUAUGGAUACUAUGUCUCAAAUAUCCGUUGAUUCCAUGGGCUAUAAAGAACCUCCUCCUAUUUUAGCUACUGACAUUAGAAAAAGAUUGGAAGAAAGUGUUGAAGAACUUAAAAGCUCUAAAAAAUUUCCUCACGAUCCUAAUGAUCCUUCUGCUUCCGUCCUAAAAGAAACCUGGGCGGAAAAGACGGAGAAAAUUAAGAUGCUUUCACCUUAUGGCCAUCUUCAAAAUUGGCAACUACUAUCAGUUAUCGUCAAGUGCGGAGAUGAUUUAAGGCAGGAACAUUUAGCUUAUCAAAUACUCGAAAUGUUGGAUCGUAUUUGGAAACGCGAAAGAGUCAAAUUAUGGGUUAAACCCUAUCGCAUUUUAGUUCUUUCUGAUAAUUGUGGUAUGAUAGAACCAAUUUGGAAUACUGUUUCCCUUCACCAAGUGAAAAAGCAGAGCAAAAAAACGCUUUUAAAUUAUUUUAUUUCUGAAUUUGGAGAUUUUAACUCAGAAGGUUUUCUUACAGCUCAGCACAACUUUGUUCGAAGCUGUGCUGGCUAUUGUAUUGUAUCGUACCUGCUACAACUUAAGGACCGUCAUAAUGGGAAUAUAUUACUAGAUAAUCAAGGACAUUUAAUUCAUAUUGAUUUUAAUUUCAUUCUUUCACACUCUCCUCAGAAUUUAGGAUUUGAAAACUCUCCCUUCAAAUUAACUACGGAGUUUGUUGAUGUCAUGGGAGGACGUGACGGGGAAAUGUUUCAUUUUUUAAAAACUCUCAUACUUCAAGGACUCAUUGCAGUAAAGAAACAUCAUGAGCAAAUAAUGUCACUUGUUAAUAUCAUGAGAACGGUAUGCAAGUUUGAUAGACGAAAUAUCUCCUGACAGAUAACUAAAAAAAACUAUAGAACAUUUUCAAAUGACGUUAACAUAGUUGAUCUCGACCAUUUUGGAGGCCUAAACAACCAAGUUUUAUAACUAUGAGUCUCCUUUUUUCAUUCAUAUUACGAAAAAUAGUAAGCUAAUGGAGUCAAAAUAGGACCAACAAAUAAAAAGGACUUAAACCUUACUGUUCACCUUUGCCCUGUUUCUCGUCCAGCUCAUCAGCCAUAGAAAAUUUAAGAAAUCGAUUUCAUAUGUCCUUUACUGAUACUCAAUUAAAUGAUUUAGUAGAUAGUAUGGUGGAGCAGUCCAUCAAUUCAUUAACUACGAAGCUCUAUGACGGAUAUCAAUACUUUACUAACGGAAUUUUAUAAUUAAAAAAAAAAUAAAAGAAAUCAAAACAUGAUAUACAACAUUGUCAGUUUUCAAAAUAAGUAAAUAAUAAACACGGAAGAUUUUUUGUAUGUA